AACACGUGAGCAACCUGCCCCUGACUCUGGGAUAAGCGCUGGAAACGGCGUCUAAUACUGGAUACGAACCACGAAGGCAUCUUCAGUGGUUGGAAAGAAUUUCGGUUGGGGAUGGGCUCGCGGCCUAUCAGCUUGUUGGUGAGGUAAUGGCUCACCAAGGCGUCGACGGGUAGCCGGCCUGAGAGGGUGACCGGCCACACUGGGACUGAGACACGGCCCAGACUCCUACGGGAGGCAGCAGUGGGGAAUAUUGCACAAUGGGCGAAAGCCUGAUGCAGCAACGCCGCGUGAGGGAUGACGGCCUUCGGGUUGUAAACCUCUUUUAGCAGGGAAGAAGCGAAAGUGACGGUACCUGCAGAAAAAGCGCCGGCUAACUACGUGCCAGCAGCCGCGGUAAUACGUAGGGCGCAAGCGUUAUCCGGAAUUAUUGGGCGUAAAGAGCUCGUAGGCGGUUUGUCGCGUCUGCUGUGAAAUCCGGAGGCUCAACCUCCGGCCUGCAGUGGGUACGGGCAGACUAGAGUGCGGUAGGGGAGAUUGGAAUUCCUGGUGUAGCGGUGGAAUGCGCAGAUAUCAGGAGGAACACCGAUGGCGAAGGCAGAUCUCUGGGCCGUAACUGACGCUGAGGAGCGAAAGGGUGGGGAGCAAACAGGCUUAGAUACCCUGGUAGUCCACCCCGUAAACGUUGGGAACUAGUUGUGGGGUCCAUUCCACGGAUUCCGUGACGC
rnacentral:rRNA from 1 species